ACUGCUCCAUCCAACGGGUUGUACGCUUUUUGUUACACGGCCUUUGCCUCGGGUGUGCAUGCUGCUGGAGAGACCGGUGAUUAUGGGGAGGUUACGGUCAAGCUGAUUCAUAACGGAGACUACAAGGGCUCUAUUCAUGUUGACACUGAAUCCGAAUGGGACGACGAUAUGUCCACUGGAUUCGCCAUCCUCAUGUUGGAAGCUGGAGAUGUCGUAUUGACCAAGUCAAAAGACGCAGGUCAAGGUUCCUUCCAAAGCAGCGACAAGGGAAGGUGGUCUUUUUCCGGGUUCCAGAUCGCCUAGAAGAAUAUUUUUUAAAAAUAUAUAUUAAAUUAUAUUAAAGUGAUA
rnacentral:misc_RNA from 1 species